rnacentral:rRNA from 1 species
GCGGAGGAAAAGAAAAUAACAAUGAUUUCCCUAGUAACGGCGAGUGAAGAGGAAAGAGCUCAAAGUUGGAAACUGUUUGGCUUAGCUAAACCGUAUUGUAAACUGUAGAAACAUUUUCCUGGCACACCAGAUUAAUAAGUCCUUUGGAACAAGGCAUCAUGGAGGGUGAGAAUCCCGUCUUUGAUCUGAGUAGUUGUCUUUUGUGAUAUGUUUUCAAAGAGUCAGGUUGUUUGGGAAUGCAGCCUAAAUUGGGUGGUAAAUCUCACCUAAAGCUAAAUAUUUGCGAGAGACCGAUAGCGAACAAGUACCGUGAGGGAAAGAUGAAAAGAACUUUGAAAAGAGAGUUAAACAGUAUGUGAAAUUGUUAAAAGGGAACCGUUUGGAGCCAGACUGGUUUGCCUGUAAUCAACCUAGAAUUCGUUUUGGGUGCACUUGCAGGCUAUACCUGCCAACAACAGUUUGACUUGGAGGAAAAAAUUAAUAGGAAUGUAGCCUCUCGAGGUGUUAUAGCCUAUUAUCAUACUCUGGGUUGGACUGAGGAACGCAGCGGAUGCCUUUAGGCAAGAUUGCUGGGUGCUUUCGCUGAUAAAUGUUAGAAUUUCUGCUUCGGGUGGUGCUAAUGUUUAAAGGAGGAACACAUCUAGUAUAUUUUUUAUUCGCUUAGGUUGUUGGCUUAAUGACUCUAAAUGAC